GAUGAACGCUAGCUACAGGCUUAACGCAUGCAAGUCGAGGGGAAACGACAUCGAAAGCUUGCUUUUGAUGGGCGUCGACCGGCGCACGGGUGAGUAACGCGUAUCCAACCUGCCCACCACUUGGGGAUAACCUUGCGAAAGUAAGACUAAUACCCAAUGACGUCUCUAGAAGACAUCUGAAGGAGAUUAAAGAUUUAUCGGUGAUGGAUGGGGAUGCGUAUGAUUAGCUUGUUGGCGGGGUAACGGCCCACCAAGGCGACGAUCAGUAGGGGUACUGAGAGGAAGGGCCCCCACAUUGGAACUGAGACACGGUCCAAACUGCUACGGGAGGCAGCAGUGAGGAAUAUUGGUCAAUGGGCGAGAGCCUGAACCAGCCAAGUAGCGUGCAGGAUGACGGCCCUAUGGGUUGUAAACUGCUUUUAUAAGGGAAUAAAGUGAGUCUCGUGAGACUUUUUGCAUGUACCUUAUGAAUAAGGACCGGCUAAUUCCGUGCCAGCCGCCGCGGUAA
rnacentral:rRNA from 1 species